AUUGAACGCUGGCGGCAGGCCUAACACAUGCAAGUCGAGCGGAUGAAGGGAGCUUGCUCCUGGAUUCAGCGGCGGACGGGUGAGUAAUGCCUAGGAAUCUGCCUGGUAGUGGGGGAUAACGUCCGGAAACGGGCGCUAAUACCGCAUACGUCCUGAGGGAGAAAGUGGGGGAUCUUCGGACCUCACGCUAUCAGAUGAGCCUAGGCCGGAUUAGCUAGUUGGUGGGGUAAAGGCCUACCAAGGCGACGAUCCGUAACUGGUCUGAGAGGAUGAUCAGUCACACUGGAACUGAGACACGGUCCAGACUCCUACGGGAGGCAGCAGUGGGGAAUAUUGGACAAAGGGCGAAAGCCUGAUCCAGCCAUGCCGCGUGUGUGAAGAAGGUCUUCGGAUUGUAAAGCACUUUAAGUUGGGAGGAAGGGCAGUAAGUUAAUACCUUGCUGUUUUGACGUUACCAACAGAAUAAGCACCGGCUAACUUCGUG
rnacentral:rRNA from 1 species